rnacentral:rRNA from 1 species
GUUGACCUCGGAUCAGGUAGGAAUACCCGCUGAACUUAAGCAUAUCAAUAAGCGGAGGAAAAGAAACCAACAGGGAUUGCCCUAGUAACGGCG